CUUGAUCCACAUAGGUAUCACCUCCACGCCAUGGCUUCACAGCAUCAUCAUCCUCCACUGGCCGUCUCCUGAUGCCAGGGUUUCAGGACAUUUAUCUCAAUAAAGAAAUCACCUCCAGGGGGAGCAUCUGUCUGGAAUCUCACCGUCUCUAGAUUUUUGGACCCUUUGUACAGAACUCCUGCUGAUGAUGACACAGAUUAUAUUACUCUAAUUGACCUUUGGUUGGUUGGAUUGACCGUCGUUGAGCUGCGUUGUUUUUUGUUCUCUUACUGUUUGCAGGCCCUUAUUUCUUGACUGACCUUUUGUUCAAUCGACUGUGAUUCAUCUUCUCUUACAGAAUGAAGUGCCUUCAUUACUGUGCUGGUUUUAUUGUGUCUGGCUGUGGGUGGGGGUGCACAACUUUUUAUUCUGAGUAUUAACUGUAUACCUGAAAUCUUUCAGUGGCAGAAAUUAAAAUCUUUCAACAUUAACCUGGGAGAAUUAAGAAUUAUUACUCUCCCUCAUUAAACUCCAAUGGUGUUUUUUUUUCUUAUUCCUUUCAGUUAUGCAAUGUUUAAUGGUCAAAUUUACCAAAGAGUUUUACAAUUGGAUGUGAUUUGUUGUUAAAUGACAUCGUAAUGACAUGUAAAUUGAUCCUAUUUUUUUUCUUUGUUUUAACGUCACAGUCCGACGGCGGCUGUUGAACAUCGGAGUCAAAUAUAACGAUUAGCUUAGAGGAUGUGAAACUACGUAUUUACUGGGGUAGAGUGGGAUCGUGGUGCAUUGUUGUAAAGGAUGCUGUUCAAAUCGUACUGUAAAACAUUAUUAAUAAAAGUUGCAGGUUUGCACACUGUCA